UAGUUUUCUUUGUAAUUUCCAUUUGCAUUUCAACAUUAAGUUACCCAGUCAUUAGCCUCCUAAACCAUUAGCAUUGAUAGCUUCUACAGUAGCCUCUGUGUUCUCAUGACAUACGACUGAUGUUAUAACACCAGAAAGUUUGCCUUCACGAGUCCCAGUUGAAGACAGCAAAGUUUCUGUGGUGUCCAUUGAAGAGGCGGGACUCUACUACUCUAUUGGCACAGUACAAAAUGUACUGUAAAUGUGUGGGACUUGAAAUCAUGAACUGCUGGCAUAUUGUUUUGGCAUUCACAGUCUACAGUUAAACAGGUUUCAUACAGGUAUGGAAACACACCCAUCUGUGGCUUUAUAAACUCCACUUAUCUUUCAGGGUACACCACAUAGUUACAAGUCACCACUACGGAAAUGAUCAAAUCUUAACAAGACUUCAGAGACAUCUCUAUCAUAUGGAAAAAGGGUACACCACAUAGUUACAAGUCACCACUACGGAAAUGAUCAAAUCUUAACAAGACUUCAGAGACAUCUCUAUCAUAUGGAAAAAGGGUACACCACAUAGUUACAAGUCACCACUACGGAAAUGAUCAAAUCUUAACAAAUCUUCAGAGACAUCUGUAUCAUAUGGAAAAAGGACACUAACAACCUGAGAUGGUAAACGGACCAGCCCUGUCCUCUGCUAACGGUGGGGAAAAAUAUGUGGGCAGCACAUUCAGAGAUUCCUUCUCACUGUUGGAUGUUCUUCAUGCAAAUGAGUAUGAAGGGAAGUUUGAUAAAAAACUUGCUGAGGAAACAGAGGAAAACUUUUACAGAGGAGCUCCCCCCAACUGGUUAAACUUUCACUUUAGUGAACAGGCAGCGUCAAAUGGCCCUUUCAUUAAACGAGAUGGAUAUCAAGCGCUCAAGGAAGAAAUUCAGAAAAAAGCAAAGUCCUGAAUAUCAGCUGUUAAACUGUUUCACCAACCAGGAUGUGGAGGAACUACAAUGGCCAUGCAGGUGUUGUGGGACUUGAGGAAAACCUUGAGGUGUGCUGUUUUAAGAGGUUCAGCCCCAGACAUUACAAAUGUUGCAGAGGAGGUUAUUUACCUUUUCACAGCAGGAAAUCAAGGCCACCAGAACACUGUGCUACUGUUACUGGAUGAUGAGCAGAUCUUGGAUGAUCUCCAACACAGCAUUAUGAUGAUGAUAACUGCUCAACAGACGUUAGUCACCUACUGGCCUGUGGUGGUUUUACUCAGCUGUGUGAGAAAAGAUGCAGUUCUAGGGAGCAACCAUGUCGUACUACAGAAGGUACUCUCAGACAAAGAGAAGCAACAAUUCAAUGAGAAAAAGGAAGAACUUAGCAGGAGAUACGGUGAUAGAUGCAAAAUGUUCCAUGGUUUUAACAUAUUGCAAACAAAUUUUUCUCAUGAUUACAUCCAAGAGGCAUGUGAGAUAUUUAUAACAAUCAACAAAAGAAAUAAACCUCUGAAGACUCAGCUUGCUGCCUUCCUAUCCCUGCUGAAUGCCUAUGUCCAGUUCAUAUCUCCUGAGUCUCAGUGCCUAGACUUCCUUAACCAAUGACGACAUCAUGGAUACCGUUCACUGGAACACUAAUGAAGCCUUUUACUCACCUCAUCGUC